GUUCUAUGAAGGCCUAUGGAGGCCUAUGGAGUUCUAUGGAGGCCUAUGGAGACCUAAGGAGUCCUAUGGAGGACUGUGGAGGCCUAUGGAGGCCUAUGGAGUCGUGUGAAGGCCUAUGGAGGCCUAUGGAGGACUAUGGAGUUCUGUGGAGUCAUAUGAAGGCCUAUGGAGGCCUAUGGACGCCUAUGGAGUUCUAUGGAGGCCUAUGGAGUGACUCCUAUGGAGGUCUAAGGGGUCCUAUGGAGUCCUGUGGAGUCCUAUGGAGUUCUAUGAAGGCCUAUGGAGGCUUAUGGAGUCAUAUGGAGGCCUAUGGAGUCCUAUGGAGUUCUAUGGAGGCCUAUGGAGGCCUAUGGAGUCAUAUGAAGGCCUAUGGAGGCCUAUGGAGUGACUGCUAUGGAG
rnacentral:lncRNA from 1 species